rnacentral:rRNA from 1 species
GACGAACGCUGGCGGCGUGCUUAACACAUGCAAGUCGAACGAUGAAGCAAAGAUUCGAAGCUUCGGCAGAAAUUCAUUUCGGAUUAGUGGCAGACGGGUGAGUAACGCGUGAGCAACCUACCUCUUACAAAGGGAUAGCCUCGGGAAACCGGGAUUAAUUCCGUAUAACAUUUGGACAGAGCAUUUCGAUGCAGUCAAAGCUACGGCGGCAAGAGUUGCGCGCGCGUCCCAUUACCCGGAUGGUGAGGUAGCGUCACGCCAUUGUGACGAUGGGUAACCGGAGUGAGAGGGGGAACAGUCACACUGGAACUGAGACACGGCCCAGACUCCUACGGGAGGCAGCAGAGGUGAAUAUUGCACAAUGGAGGGGAUUCUGAUGCAGCGACGCCGCGUGAGUGAUGAAGGAAUUCGUUUCGUAAAACUCUGUUCUAUGGGAAGAAAAGGACUGUACCAUAGGAGAAAGCUCCGGCUAAAUACGUG